rnacentral:rRNA from 1 species
AUAUUAAAGUUGUUGCAGUUAAAAAGCUCGUAGUUGAAUUUCGGGAUCAAUUAAUUGGUCGUGCCUCUGGUACGUACUGAUUUUAUUGGUUUCUCCCUUCUGACGAACCAUGAUGUCAUUAAUUUGAUGUCGUGGAGAAUCAGGACUGUUACUUUGAAAAAAUUAGAGUGUUUAAAGCAAGCUAACGCUUGAAUACAUUAGCAUGGAAUAAUGAAAUAGGACGUUUGAUCCUAUUUUGUUGGUUUCUAGGAUCGACGUAAUGAUUAAUAGGGAUAGUUGGGGGCAUUAGUAUUCAAUUGUCAGAGGUGAAAUUCUUGGAUUUAUUGAAGACUAACUACUGCGAAAGCAUUUGCCAAGGAUGUUUUCAUUAAUCAAGAACGAAAGUUAGGGGAUCGAAGACGAUCAGAUACCGUCGUAGUCUUAACCAUAAACUAUGCCGACUAGGGAUCGGAUGAUGUUAAUUUUUUAAUGACUCAUUCGGCGCCUUACGGG